rnacentral:rRNA from 1 species
GACGAACGCUGGCGGCGUGCCUAAUACAUGCAAGUAGGACGCAGUUGCGAACGGGUGAGUAACGCGUAGGUAACUGACUAUUAGAGGGGGAUAACUAUUGGAAACGAUAGCUAAUACCGCAUACUAGUAGAUGGACCUGCGUUGUAUUAGCUAGUAGGUAGGGUAAUGGCCUACCUAGGCGACGAUACAUAGCCGACCUUGGAGGGUGGUCGGCCACACAGGGAAUUGGGAACGGCCCAGACUCCUACGGGGUGCAGCAGUAGGGAAUCUUCGGCAAUUGGGGGAACCCUGACCGAGCAACGCCGCGGUAGUGGAGAAGGUUUUCGGAUCGUAAAGCUCUGUUGUUAAGGAAGCGGUACUUAACCAGAAAGGGACGGCUAACUACGUGCCAGCAGCCGCGGUAAUAC